GUUCAGGGGCCCCCACCCCCUUGAAAUUGUACAGAGAAUUGCUCUUUAGAGUUGCGAAUUUGUAUUAUGAUUUUCAAGGUCUUGGAACUACCUUUGUUGGGCUGGCUUCAAAUUCAACCUCCUCCACAUCCUCAGUAGCUGGGCUUGCAGAUGUGUUCACAGUUUUGGACAAAUUCAGUUAUUAAGACUGUGGGAAUAGUUAAAAUCCAAAACAGCCUUUGGAUAGAAUGUUUUGCAGUCUUAACCAACUUCACCCAGUUCCAAAAGAGGUUUUGGUUUGGAUGAUGAGUGCUCUUUUCAAACCUGGAAGGAAGAGGAUCUGCUCAGAACAAGACACUGCUGCCCAAUCUCAGGUCUACACAUCUGCCUCACCAAAAUUGCACAAUGGCCAGAAAACUUCCUUCUAAUAUAUGUUCGGUUGUCUUCAGUGCAGAAAUGCCUGUAUGACUUUGCUCAGUGAUGACCCUGUGAUUUGGGGGAAGGAAAUGGGAUUUAUUUAGAACCCUAAGCUGCUAAAUUUGUGUGUAAUGGGGAAUAGCUUGAAACAUGAAAUGAAAGAACAUAACAGCAAAAUUAAGUAACUUAAUUUGUGUUGCGAACACUACAGAAAACUGGUCUCAAGGUCUUUCUCUUCUCCCAGGUCUAGCUCUCUGGAUCUAUGCUUUUCUGGUAGAGGAACUGUAACAAAUGAUACAGUCUUGAAGGUCUAAAACCAUGGCCCUUGUAAGUUGAUGUUUCUUUCCUCGUAUGGAUUUUUAGGUCAUGCAAGGAUCUUCCUGAAGUUUCCCACUAGGAAAAACUUUCUGUUUCCAGUUCUUGCUCUUCCACUGAACUGGGAUGCCAAAUU